AUACGGAGGGGGCUAGCGUUGUUCGGAAUUACUGGGCGUAAAGCGCGCGUAGGCGGUUUAUCAAGUUAGACGUGAAAGCCCUGGGCUCAACCCAGGAACUGCGUUUGAUACUGGUUGACUAGAGGCCGCGAGAGGGUAGUGGAAUUCCCAGUGUAGAGGUGAAAUUCGUAGAUAUUGGGAAGAACACCGGUGGCGAAGGCGGCUACCUGGACCGGACCUGACGCUGAGGUGCGAAAGCGUGGGGAGCAAACAGAAUUAGAAACCCCAGUAGUCC
rnacentral:rRNA from 1 species